rnacentral:misc_RNA from 1 species
AAGUCGUAACAAGGUUUCCGUAGGUGAACCUGCGGAAGGAUCAUUAUUGAAUAAACUUGGUUGGGUUGCUGCUGGCUCUCAGGAGCAUGUGCACACUCGCUCCAUUUUUAACCACCUGUGCACACACUGUAGGCCUGAAUGAACUUUUCUGAGGACACUCGGUUUGAGAACUGCUGUGAAAAAUCAGCUGUUCUUGCAUUUCAGGUCUAUGUUUUUAUACAUACACUCAAGUAAUAGAAUGUUAAUUAUAUAGGCCUUCUGUGCCUUUAAUUAAACCUAAUACAACUUUCAACAACGGAUCUCUUGGCUCUC